AACGCACAUUGCGCCCCUUGGUAUUCCAUGGGGCAUGCCUGUUUGAGCGUCAUUUGUACCUUCAAGCUUUGCUUGGUGUUAGGUGUUUGUCUCGCCUUUGCGUGUAGACUCGCCUUAAAACAAUUGGCAGCCGGCGUAUUAAUCUCGGAGCGCAGUACAUCUCGCGCUUUGCACUCAUAACGACGACGUCUAAAAGUACUUUUUUACACUCUUGACCUUGGAUUAGGUAGGGAUACCCGCUGAACUUAA
rnacentral:misc_RNA from 2 species